UAAUGAUGUGGGUACGAAUGAA
rnacentral:miRNA from 2 species